GUGAGUGUAGCUCAGUUGGGCAGAGCACUGGGUUGUGGCCCCAGUGGGCGAGGGUUCGAGUCCCUUCACUCACCCCA
rnacentral:tRNA from 1 species